GUGGGCGGAACCAAGAGCCUGGCGGGGGGUUCUCCUGAAUGGCGGUUCUCCCAGAACCUCCAGAGAUGUCACAGGCCCAGCACUGUGGCUCGUGGCUGACCGCGCCCUGGAGGGUCUCGCUGUGUUUAUCCUUGUGAGGUCCUUCUACAGAGCUUUCAAGGAAGACAGAGUUCAGCCUGUUUAUUGGGAAGACUUUAAUCCUGCUCAAGACAUCUACUGUGUCACCGUACCACUGUGGCCCAGCGCCUGGUGGAGUGAAUCCAGACCCCCAGGGGUGUCCCCUCCCCGCCUUUCUCCUGGUGUCUAGGGGCACCCAGAAACCCUCACCCCAGAUUAGACCAGCUCGUUGGCAACAUCCCUGGUAUGUCACAGCCUGGGGGGUGAUAGACAAGGCAGGGUAGUGGUGGGGGGUACGUAUGGUGGUAGUAGACGAGGGUAUACACAGACAGAGGGUGUACAUGGGGAAUGUGUGCAGGGGCUGUGUGCAGGGAGUGUGUGUGGAUGGUGUAGGGGAGUGUGUAGGGGAGUGUGUAGGGGGUGUGUGCAGAGGUUGUACACGGGGUGUGCAGGAGGUGUACUCAGAAUGUGUUCAGGGAGUGUGUGCAGAAGGUGUACAUGGGGUGUAUGCAGGAGGAGUGUGCAGAGGGUGUACAUGUAGGGGGUGUGUGCAGACAGUAUACAGAAGGGGUGUGUGCAGAGGAUGCACACAGGGUCUCUGCAGGGAGUAUGUGCAGUGCUGUACAUAAGGAGUAUGCAGGGGGUAUAUACAGGGUGUAUGUGCAAGGGGUGUGUGCAACAGUGUGUGCAGGAGGUGUGUGCAGGGUCUAUGUGUGGGGGUGUGUGCAACAGUGUGUGCAGGAGGUGUGUGCAGGAGGUGUGUGCAGGAGCUAUGUGUGGGGGUGUGUGCAACAGUAUGUGCAGAGGUGUGUGUAGGGGCUAUGUGUGGGGGUGUGUGCAACAGUGUGUGCAGGAGGUGUGUGCAGGAGGUGUGUGCAACAGUGUGCAGGGGGUGUACACAAGGUGUGUGCAGGAGGUGUGUGUAGAUGUGUGUGCAGGAGGUAUACACAGGGUUUGUGCAGAGGAUGUGUGUGGGAGGUGUGUGCAGGGGAUCUGUGCAGGGAGUGUACACAGGCUGUGUGCAGAGGCUAUGUGCAGGGGGUGUGUGCAACAGUGUGCAGGGAGUGUACACAAGGUGUGUGCAGGAGGUGUGUGCAGAGGUGUGUGCAGGAGGUAUACAUGGUGUGUGAAGGUAUGUGUAGAGGUGUGUGCAGGGGGUAUACACAGGGUUUGUGCAGAGGAUGUGUGAGGGAGUUGUGUGCAGGGGAUCUGUGCAGGGAGUGUACACAGGCUGUGUGCAGGGGGUAUGUGCAACAGUGUGCAGGGGGGGUGUGUGCAGAGGUGUGUGCAGGGGGUGUACACAGAGGGUGGUGGCAGGCGGUGGAUGCAAGGCUGCAUCUGUUCAGCCCAAGACGUUCCAUUGGUCCAGUGGUGUUAGAGCACAUUUGGUCAGGUUGCCUUCAUGGGAUAUUUGACAAGCUGCAAACCCGAGGGCAUGCUGGUGCCCGAGGGCGCCUCCGUGCUGACCUCAGCAUGUGCAGCAAGAGCCAGGGCACAGGGGCGGCCUGGCCCAUUUCAGGCAGGUGCUCUGUGGGAGGGUGGCUGUCUCCACUGACAACCCAGGGAGGUCAGCAAGGAGGAGCCCUGAGGUGGACUCGAAAGCUGUGGGAGCUGAUGGCCCUCCUGGUCUCUGCCACAGCCCUUAGGCUGUGGGACACACAGCGUCACAUUUGAUCACUGUUCAUGGGGCCUGCCGAACACUCAGCAUUCCUGAGUGCAGAUCGUCACGUAACUUUCCAAAAAUUGCAAACCCAGAUAUGGCUCCAUGACCCCUCCUGCAAGACUGUGAAGGAGUUCAGGGCACAGCUGAGCCCUCACACCCCCAGCCCCAUCACUGCCCCUGAUAUGCACUGAGUGGAAUUCUGUCCCGCCAGGAGACAAACAGUGGACAGCAUCCUGGCUCUUCAGAAGCACAUGACGAUGGCAAACUGAAGGCCUCAUGGGCCCUCACCCAACAGCAGUGGCUUUUCAGGGCAUAACACAGGCCCCAAACACUGAGCCUCUUCCUCCUGGGCAGGUACCCAGCUGGCCAGACAGGGCAGGGUAGGGGCGAGUGGGACCUCAGUGGGCAGCCGGUCCAGGACAGAACCACACGGGGAUGUGAUGGAAGUACCAAUGGGAACUUUGAAAACAAUGCCUCUGCUCACCAAAGUAUCCCAGCUUCACUGUAGAAAAUAUAGACACUACAGAAGGGCACCGAGAUUCGAUAUGCCGCCCUGCUGAGAUAACCCACACUAACAUGCCCACAUGUAUCCUGCAGGUGUUUUUCAAGCCUGUGCGUAUUGACAGUCAUGAGGCUAUGCUAAGCAUUGCCGGAUGCAUCUGCCACUAAGUAGUCUUUAACGUUGUUUAUUAAACACUUUUAAUGGUCACGUUAGAUCAUAAACCAAACCCAACUUUAUUAUCCUGUCUUCUGCUGCUGAAAGUUGUGUCUGUCUCCACUUCCUCACGGUGCUCACUCUGGUUGGCCAAAUCAUGAAGAUCCAUGGAGGCGCGGGAGCCUUCCGGCCUGGAAUGGGGCAGCAAAAGCACAGAGCCGCAGAGAAGCCGGGAAAGCAAAGGCAGGGGCUGCUGGGCUGGGCCCCAUCAGCCCCAUGGCAGCGGCACCCGCACAGGCCUGGGGUCCCCAGCAGCAGGGAUGCUGUCUGUGGGCCCAGGGCUCCUCCACAGCUUUGGGGGCUUCCUGCCAGAGGAGGGGGGUGGUUCUCCUGGGAGGGGCCCCAAGACAGGAGUCCCCAGACCUGGGCACGCCUCACCUCGGGUAGGGCCCCAACGCUUCAGCGGGUCUCACUGGCAUCCCUAAACCUAGACCACAGGAGAGUGUGCUGUGCCAUCAUCACGAUGACCCCUCCCCAUCCCAGCGCACGCUCCCACGACGCACCGUGCUCACAGUGACCCCUCCCCAUCCCAGCGCACGCUCCCACAAUGUGCCGGGAUCACAGUGACCCCAUGGGCUACCUGCCGCUCCCAAGGACUAAUGGAGGCCUCUGUCCCCAGGUUCUAUCCCGGGUUCCUCACAGGGCACCAGCCCUCAGGCCCAGUUAAAUUCCGGAGCGGCUCUUUAAGCCCACAGGCCCAGGCCGCUAUGGUAGGACCCAGGUGGGAGAGGCUCUCCGUGUGCUGUCUCCCUGACAGGUGCCCCAUCCAUAGCUUUCUAGAACAUCCCAGGGAGGCUCCCAGGCCCCGAGCCUCAAUCCUCAAGCCUGUGGGUCCCAGACUGCAGGCUCAGUGAGCCCUACAGAGACCAGGCCAGCGGAAGGAAACAGGGAGACCCACAUGGUCAGAGAAGAGGGCUGGAGGUUCAGCCUGAGGGGCCUCUGGGCUUUCUCUAAACAGAGCGGGGGUGGGAGGAGGCUGUGAUGUACAGUGAGGGGACUUGAGAGGGAAAUGGGGGCCUCCACCCACCCCAGGGACGAGCGCUCACCCCAGGCCCACCUGGCUCGCAGCAUCCAAGCCAGGGCUACGCAGAGCAGCUGCUCCCAAACCCAGCUCCCUCUGGGUGCCUGAGCCAGGCUCAGAGAUGCAUCCUGCAUCGUUCUUUCUCCAUCCUGUGUCAACAAGACAACACAGGCAACCAGCGUGGCCAUGCUGGAAAUCCACAGCCUAGCGGAGCGGCCUCGCCUGCAUUCAUGUGGCCAGUGGAAUUCGCGGCACACACAUUCGCACUGUCACGCUCAGUUCACGUGUGCACACGCUCACAGCCACAGCACACUCACAGUUCACACACCUCACACGCAUACAUACACAGGUGUACGUGCACAUGCACACUCACGUACACACCCACCCACACACAGUCUCACACCCAGGUUCACACCCACACAUGGACCUCAAUCCACCGGUACCUGCCACACACCCACACGCGGACCUCCAUCCCACUCCAAGGCCUUUCCCCACAUCCCCGGGCGGCAGGAGCCCAGCGGUCAGUGCAGAGGCAUGGACGAGGGCCAGGGAGGCAGGUGGCACGAGCCACCUGCUCUCCACAUCCUUCUCGAGAGGAAAGGAGGUGCCGGCCCACCCUGCCCACAGCUCCUCGGCGAAGCCGCGUCUGGUCCAGGGCCAGCCGCCCCUUUGCUGGUUUCAGUUCCUCCUUUAUCCAUUCAUAAACGUUGAACAAAAGCGCUCUUUUCCCUCACGGUAUCUCUAGCAGUUAAGAUCAACACCAAUAUUUGAGAACUGUCAAUACUGCAUUUUACCCACUUCCCAAAUGUGAAACCGGAAGGCACACGUAGCCCUUGCUGGGCUGUUUCCAGUGAACACAGUUGAGGGUGGGCUUGGGGGUUCUCCGCAUCGUAAUGUCUUAGGAGGGGGUGGGGCCACACCUUCCCACCUUGUCCGAGUAACAGGCCACGUGUGCGGUUUAGUUCACACCGUGGAGGAGGGGAGUGUGAGGGCAGCGGGUGGGCCGCUGUGUCCUGGUCUCUGUCCUGCUGUGUGGCCAGGGAGGGAGUGCGGCUGUCCGAUUUAGGUUGAAACACCGUCCAUCGGCAUCUCUGGGGGAUGUUGCCACUGCCCUUGACUCCUGCCCUUGUGUCUGGAAAGGGGAGGCUUCAGAGUGAGUGGCCCACAGCCUUCCAGUUGCAGGAGCUGGUGUGGGAAGGGGCAUCCCCAUGGCUGUGGGCCGGAGCCCUGUAAUAAUGGGAAGUUUCAGUGCCCUCAUAGGAGUUUCACUGGAGCAGGUAAAUCGGUCUGGGAGCUUGUGAACCGCUCUGGGCUGCUGGGGCUGCACUGACAACAAGCACAGAGCCCAGCUACAAGUGGCGUGGCUGCAGGAGACGCCCUGGAGACCUGAGACAGGCUGGGUGUCUCUGCUGUCCCAGGACAGAACCCAGCUACAAGUGGCGUGGCUGCAGGAGACACCCAGGAGCCCCCAGGCAGGGUGGGCGGCUCUGCUAUCCCAGGACUGGGUCAGGACAGCUCAGCCCUCGCAGUCCUCAGCCAAGUGCUGCCCCGCUCUGCAAGGGGCCCAGAGGGCUCCCAGAGGCCUGCGGACCAGUGCUAGGCCUCACAUCCCUGAACCACUCCCUGACCUCACAUCCCUGAACACAUGCAGGGGCCGGGCCUCAGCUGGGGGGCAUGGCACUGGGUGAGGUCAGAGGUGCUCCAAGCAUGUGGCCUAGAAGGUUUGUCCAAAACAAAUUCUCUCCUGGACCCUGGAGGGGAAGCAGAAGCCGGCUGCUUCCUAUAGUUCCCAACACCAGAAAGCCCAGGACUUCUCAGGGAAAUCUUGGUUUCCAGCUUUUUCCGAAAGUGCCUGAUGGGCAGGCAUUCACUCCUUUCAGACAAGCCCCCCAGCCCUUCAGCCACUGAGCCGUGACCCUCUCCCCAGGAAGGACUGGUGGGGCUGGGGCACUGCCACCACCUGGAGCCCCAUCUUCAGCCGCCUGGCAGGAGCUGCACCUGCACAUGGCACCCGUGAACUCCGGCAUCUUCCUCUGUCCUCCCAGGCACUCGGCAUCUUCCAGGGCUGCUGCCUCCUGAGCCCACUCGAUAUGGUUUAGAUGUUUGUCCCCACAGAUCUCAUGUUGAAAUGUAAUCACCAGUGCUGGAGGUGGGGGCUGGUAGGAGGUGUUUGGAUCACAGGAGUGGGUCCUUCCUGAAUGGCGUGGGUCAUCCUGUUGGUGAUAAGUGAGUUCUCACUCUGGUAGAUCUGGUAGUUUAAAAGUGUGUGGUGGCUGGGCGCAGUGGCUCACACCUGUAAUCCCAGCACUUUGGGUGACUGAGGAGGGUGGAUCACUUGAGGUCAGGA
rnacentral:lncRNA from 1 species